rnacentral:misc_RNA from 1 species
UCCGGUUUAACACCGGCAGUCCCUUUAGAGUCCCCAACUUAAUGCUGGUAACUAAAGGCAAGGGUUGCGCUCGUUGCGGGACUUAACCCAACAUCCUACGACACGAGCUGACGACAGCCAUGCAGCACCUAUCCUAGCGUCUCCGAAGAGAAAGCCUCAUCUCUGAGGUUGUCGCUAAAUGUUAAGCCCAGGUAAGGUUCUGCGCGUUGCUUCGAAUUAAACCACAUACUCCACCGCUUGUGCGGGCCCCCGUCAAUUCCUUUGAGUUUUAGCCUUGCGACCGUACUCCCCAGGCGGGAUACUUAAUGCGUGAACUUCGGUACUCAGAGGGUUAAUACUCCGAACACCUAGUAUCCAUCGUUUACGGCGUGGACUAC